UACAGAGACUGCAAGCGUUAUUCGGAUUCACUGGGCGUAAAGGGUGCGCAGGUGGUCGGGUAAGUCUGAUGUGAAAUCCCGCAGCUUAACUGCGGAAUGGCAUUGGAUACUAUUCGGCUAGAGGGUUGGAGGGGGGACUGGAAUUCUCGGUGUAGCAGUGAAAUGCGUAGAUAUCGAGAGGAACACCAGUGGCGAAGGCGAGUCCCUGGACAACUCCUGACGCUGAGGCACGAAAGCUAGGGGAGCAAACAGG
rnacentral:rRNA from 1 species